CGGUUAUACCAAGUGAUUAAGUUAUAUUUUUAGGUAAAAAGACAGUUAGGUUUUAUAGAAAUUGAUUUUAGUUUAUUAAACAUCUAUAAAAAAGUAAAAUUUGUAUAUAGAUAGCUAAUUUAAGAAUAACUAUGUAUACUGAAGCUGUGAUAGUCUUGAGGGAAACUGGGAUUAGAUACCCCAUUAUUCUUGAUUUUAAAUAUAAUUAAAUUUACCAGAGUACUAUGAAUAGUUAAAAAUUUAAAACUCAAAGGGCUUGGCGGUGUUUUAGACCUAUCAGGGGAACCUGUCUCGUAAUCGACAAUCCGCGUAAUAUCUAACCUUAUUUUGUAAACAGUUUGUAUACCGUCGUCGUCAGGUAACUUUUAAAAAUAUAGAAGUUAGCAAUUAAAACUUAUUAGUUAAAACGUCAGAUCAAGGUGCAGCCUAUAGUAAGGAGAGGAUGGGUUACAGUUAUAAAAAUUAUAAUUACGGAAAUUUAAAUGGAACUUAUUUUGAAGGAGGACUUGAAAGUAAACUAAAAUACAUAAAUAGCUUGAAUAAGGCUCUG
rnacentral:rRNA from 1 species